ensembl:misc_RNA Metazoa_SRP Metazoan signal recognition particle RNA
GCUGGGUGUGGUGGCACGUGCCUGUAGUCCCAGUUACUUGGGAGGCUGAGAUGGGAGGAUCGCUUGAGCCUGGGAGUUCUGGGCUGUAGUAGGCUAUGCCCAUCAGGUGUCCACACUAAGUUUGGCAUCAAUAUGGUGACCUCCCAGGAGCAGGGGACCCCCAAGUUGCCUAAGGAGGGGUGAACUGGCCUAGAUCAAAAAUGGAGCAGGCCAAAACUCCUGUGCUGAUCAGUAGUGGGAUCACGCCUUUGAACAGCCACUGCACUCCAGCCUAGGCAACACAGCAAGACCCCAUCUCUA